UGAAACGCUUAGAAUGAGAGGAGUAGGAAGCAAACAUUGUUAAGAGAGCUGCCGGUUGCUGGGAAGGCAGACAAUGAAUCUUCUGAAGUCGCUUAUGAGUGGCUAAGCUGAAAGAAAAGUAAGCUUAGACGGAUGGUGAUGCCAAUCGUUAAAAAAAUGAGGUUUGUAUACGGUUUAUACAAAUAAAAAAGAGUGGUACCACGUUAGGAGAAACCCCUAUCGUCUCUAAA
rnacentral:ncRNA from 1 species